rnacentral:rRNA from 1 species
GACGAACGCUGGCGGCGUGCUUAACACAUGCAAGUCGAACGGAAAGGCCCUGCUUUUGUGGGGUGCUCGAGUGGCGAACGGGUGAGUAACACGUGAGUAACCUGCCCUUGACUUUGGGAUAACUUCAGGAAACUGGGGCUAAUACCGGAUAGGAGCUCCUGCUGCAUGGUGGGGGUUGGAAAGUUUCGGCGGUUGGGGAUGGACUCGCGGCUUAUCAGCUUGUUGGUGGGGUAGUGGCUGACCAAGGCUUUGACGGGUAGCCGGCCUGGGAGGUUGACCGGCCACCUUGGUACUGAGAGACGGCCCAGACUGCUACGGGAGGCAGCAGUGGGGAAUAUUGCAGAAUGGGCGGAAGCCUGAUGCGGAAGCGCCGCGUGCGGGAUGACGGGCUACGGGUUGUAAACCGAUGUCGCAUGUGCCGAAGAGUGAGUGACGGUAAUGGGUCAAGAAGCACCGGCUAACUACGUG